AUGUUUUCCGGAAAGUCAAAUUGGGAAGGCUCUUUAAUGGUUGUUGCGAAAGCACUUCUUUUCUCAAACCAGAGCACUUGGACUCCUUUGCACCCUCCCCGCCCCCAUGGAUGUUCCCAAGUGGCGCUUUGUGAUGUCAGCAGUGUCAGGGCUACCAUUGGCUGGAGAAAUUUCUUGCUGACCAAUCAAACGGACAGUUGUGGCUCACCAUUGUCCUGCGACGGUAUAUAUAGAGACGCCAGGCGCCUUGGUGGAGGCCACCGUUGCUACAACAUGGCAGACCUAAUUAAGGAAGUGAAGGAGGAGGAAACAGAAAUCGAGAUAGACGCUUUCAAUCUGCAGCAACAAGCUUCAAGUGCUAACGAAGGGAAGAGAAAGAACACUGAUCAGUCCGAUGGCUUGGACAGUCAGAAGAUACGAAAGCCCACGAGGAAGGUAAAAUCAACCCUUCAGCGGAACCCGGGCCGGAAAAAGAAAGGGAAGAGUCGACGAAUCCAGUCUUCUACCACCACCCGCAGAAUAAAAAGAAGAAUGAAAGUGGGCCAAUGGCGGAUGAAGAAACCCCAGAGGAUUCUUCCAACACUUCUGACGAUUCUGCAAGUAAGCCCCUGUGCCCACCUGGAGCCCAAGAUGCUGAGCCAUCUGCUGUAACUCCAGGAAAAGCAAAGGCAGAAUAGUCGUUUGUGCAGACAUCAAACAUACACGAUGGUCCCCUCCGGACAGAUCAAAGUAUUCAGAUGUUGACGAUUAAAGUAUCAACAAGCAGUAAAAAGAUGUGUGUGCGUGUUUUUUUUUGAUGAUGGAGAGGGGAGAAGGGAAGGGUCCGGUGUGUGAGGAGGGAGGGAGGAGGCGUCCUUUCAGUCUAGGGCCCAGACCAGCCAGUCCAUACUUACCCAGACACUGGGACUGAGGACUGGGUGAAGACUGAGAACUGCAGACUGAAGAUUGCUUCCUGAACUCUUCAUCCCACUGGUGAGAAGGAAAAGGACUUGGUGUUUCUGUGUGUUUCAGAGGUCCCAUCUAGGGAGAGGGGUGAUGUAGGGGUGGUGGCUCUGUGCAAUAAUCAGAUCCCACUUUUCAGGUGUGACAAUUGAGUUUUUGCCCCUCAUCAAUUUCUGUUCCUCUUCUGGCCCACAUUUGGGCAAGCUACUACAAACAACCAGGGAGUAAAGGAACGUGACAUAGAAACAGAUAUGCCUAACCUUAACCACUGGAAUUACUGCCUUGCCUACAUUUCCCAGUGCCAAAACCUCCAUUACCCCAAAUAGCCUCUAGUGCACGUGGAGAAUCUAACUCAAUGAGUAAUAAAAUUCAGCCCUUGCCCCUAUACUCA
rnacentral:lncRNA from 1 species